CACGAGGGAAGGAGGAGGGGAUCGAUCCAAGACGGGAGCUGAGGCUGGCGGCGCCCUUCACACAAGCCUCACCGGCGGUGCCUUCUACACAAGCCUCACCGGCGGUGCGGCGGGAGAGCUCCGACCCGUCCAUAGGUGCAGGGAUGCAGAUCCGCGUCGCCAGCCUGUACUAGGCCGAGGUUGAUGCGCCGGCGCAGGGGUCGCCGUCCAUCUUCGCCAGGUAAGCGCGGGCGUUCUUCUCUCUGUCAUUGUUGUGGUGCUUGGGUCGCGAGGAGGCGAUGCGUGUUUGCUUUGUUGUAGGUGCUUUGGCGCUGUAGAUAACACUUCUGGUUCUCCUCCAUGCUCGCAGGCCUCCAGAGUACUCCAGCAACAGCCACUGGACGGCAGUUAUAUAGCAGGAUAAGGAUCGAAUCUUGUGACGCCACUCCAUUUCCAUCGUCAAAAGUUGCGCAUGAGUUGAUUUAGACUUUCAGAGUUCAGAGAAGACCUAGCAGAGUUAAUCAGCCUGAAGGUAUAUCAGAUCCUAAGGAAAGAGGACCCGGUUCAGAUUUGUCACUACUAUGUGCUGUUGGAUAGCCUUGAAAUUGACGGCGGCGGCUCGGCGGCGGUGUGGCGAAUGACGAAGCAUCUAAAAUGGACGGAAGAGAGGUGGUAGGGCGCGGCUGGGAGACGUACAUAUUUGAGGAAAUACGAUUCAUAAGGUUUCAUAUUAAUAACUUUAUUCUGGGACAACUUUAUUCUCCAAUAUGAAUCUGUAAGAAAAGAUAUGGCAUACAUUUGUGUAAAUUGAUAAUGUAAGCACAUCUCGAAACUCUAUUAUUUUUUCAAGAUUGAUUUACUUGGUGGUGCUAACUUCCAUUUUCUCAAAACAGGGCAUGUGUGCUAUUUCUGAAAAAAGAAGCUGGCAUCCCUGGUGCUACACAGGAGUAUGUAGGAAAAGAAAUGGCAUCUCAUAAUUCUUUGGAUGUAGACCAGUAGGUUCAAUUACAAAUUGUUGGCUGUAAAUGACUUUCAGUUUCUAGCUUUCAUAAAAUUUAGACAUGUACUACUCUUUAACAGUAUGAUGUGGUUGAUGGUGGUCCUAUGUGCUGGUUCAAAUUAUCAUGUUGGAUAAUAUUGCUUUUACUAGCAGUUGCAGUGUUCUUACUAUUUUAUUUCCACAAAUAUCAUCAUGUUUUGCUAUUGAUGUAAUGCUAUAUUUCUUGACUGAAAUCAAACCCUUCAGUUGCUGCCGUGGUGCUCUUAUAUUCCUUCACAGAAAGCAAACCUUGUUCAUGGCUAACUUAUAGAAUACAUUUUUCAAAAAAAAAAAAACUUAUAGAAUAGCAGAUACAGAGUUCAGAAACCAUCAAUCUUAGGAACACUUUGACCAUGUGUUUGCUUCUGUUGAAGACCCAAUAUAUGAUGAGGUGUUGUAACUGCUAAUGUUGAGCUAUAUAGACCCUAUGAGUAGAACCACCAUUGACAAACAUACGGGUCAAUAGAAUUCAGAAAGUUACAGUUUAUUUGCUCUGAAACUACUCUGUGGACGAUAGUUUAUGCUGCAGAUCAUUGCACGACCCUAAUCAAACAGUCUGCUGCAGUUUAAUUCUAUACAUGGAUGGCAAAAUUGUCUUAUCGGUGUCGUGUGCAUAUAUUCAAUAAUGGAUUCAGUUUCAGUGUAAAUCAUUAAUUGGACUUCCAUGAUUGCAGUGGUGUAUUGUUCGGCAAAAAGUAGUAUUGUCGCCUUUUAAUAUAUACUGCUUGGGCGAAACAAUUGGUUGUUACUUUUAAUAAAAGUUAACGUCAAGUAAUUUGUUUGGACCAAGCCCAAAUAGCCAAAAAAAAGAAUAAACUCUUUCCAACCAAACAACCACCUGUAGAAGUCAACAAAAAUGCUCUAAAAAAUAGUUGUAAUUUUUUUUACACAGUAAAAAUAGCUUCAAAAUGUUCACACUAUUUUUGUUUCAAACAAUUAUAUUCACAUUUUAAAAAAUUGAAAAUUCCCAAAAAUGUUCCAUUUUUACUAAAACAAAGUUCAUUUAGAAACAUAAAACAAAAAACAUUAACAAAGUCCAUUUAGAAACGUAAAACACAAAAAACAUUCUUUUCAUAAAAGACUUCUAUUCAAAAAAUGUACUUUUUCCGUAAAAAUGUUCUUUUUUAGAGAAAUGUUAUUUUCAUAAAUGUGUUAAAUAUUCUUAAAAAGAGUUCCAAUUUUGUGAAACGUUAUCUUUUAUUAAAAAUAAGGAUUUUCCAUGUUUGACCUCAUUAUAGACGUUUAUUAAAAUUAGAUAUAAAAAUAAUGCACAAUGACAUAUGUGCCUUUUUUAUCGCCCGGUGCAAAGCACGGGCAUUUGUACUAGUCUA
rnacentral:rRNA from 1 species